GCCCCAACUCAGUGGCAGAGUGCCUGCCUUGCUGCAGAAGGUCCCAGGUUCAAUUCCUGGCAUCCUCAGGUAGGCU